GAAGCGACNUCAGCUCAGGCGGGGCUACCCGCUGAGUUUAAGCAUAUCAAUAAGCGG
rnacentral:rRNA from 1 species